GGGGAAUUUUGCGCAAUGGGCGAAAGCCUGACGCAGCAAUACCGCGUGAGUGAUGAAGGCUCUCGGGUCGUAAAGCUCUGUCAGAGGGGAAGAACCUCCUGUCGCCUAAUAAGCGGCAGGCCUGACGGUACCC
rnacentral:rRNA from 1 species